ensembl:lncRNA
CCCCCCCCCCCCCCUCCUCCUUUUCCGAUCUUGCAGUGGAACAGGCAGAAAAGCUGCUGCAGCGACGUCCCACCGCUCUGCAUCAAAGGAAAGAAGCAGCACCACGAUCCCGACCAAAGACCCAGUUCACAUUCAUCUAGAAGAAGCUCCAUCCAUCAGAUCCCUGCCGUCUCCUUCCUGCAGCGCUGGUUGUCGAUGUGAAACCUCUGGACCUGCAGCAGAGACACCAUGAGGGACUAGGACCAGCGUCGUCAAUCGUUGUAAAGAGGAGGAACCAGAGAGGAAGAACCAAGAGAAGGAACCAAGAGACGGAACCAAGAGGAGGAACCAGAGAGGAAGAACCAAGAGAAGGAACCAAGAGACGGAACCAAGAGGAGGAACCAGAGAGGAAGAACCAAGAGGAGGAACCAAGAGAUGGAACCAAGAGGAGGAACCAGAGAGGAAGAACCAAGAGGAGGAACCAAGAAGAGGAACCAAGAGGAGGAACCAGAGAGGAAGAACCAAGAGGAGGAACCAAGAAGAGGAACCAAGAGGAGGAACCAGAGAGGAAGAACCAAGAGGAGGAACCAAGAAGAGGAACCACAGAGGAGCUAAGUAGGAGCAUAGAAGCUCCUUUCCUCAGCACUAGAGAAUAGAACAGCUCUCCUCUUCACUCGGUGAGGAACGUUCCUAAGAACAAGAAACAAAGCAGCUCUCUGCUGAACUCUGAGAUGAAACGGUCCUAAAGAUCAAAAAGGUCAAAGUGCAUUUUCAAGAAGUAGC